rnacentral:misc_RNA from 1 species
GUGAAUCAUCAAAUUUUUGAACGCAAAUUGCACUCUCUGGGAAGAGUAUGCCUGUUUUAGUGUCAGCCUCAAAAAAAUCGACAUAGUUGCUUUUUUCGCUGUGACAUUGGUCGGGAAUUGGGUCAUCUUAAACCUUUGUGUUUUAAGCGGCUUAAAAUUUUCGUUACGAUUCCACGAACGUUUCUACGAUAUUUACUUCUUACACGAUUAAGAUAUCGACCUGUAUUAGGCGUGACCGUUGUAUCUGAUGACG